rnacentral:rRNA from 1 species
UGAACGCUAGCGGCAGGCCUAACACAUGCAAGUCGAGGGGUAACAUUGUAGCUUGCUACAGAUGACGACCGGCGCACGGGUGCGUAACGCGUAUACAAUCUACCUUUUGCUGGGGGAUAGCCUUUGGAAACGAAGAUUAAUACCCCAUAGUAUGUAAAACUCUCCUGAGUUUAACAUUAAAGGUUACGGCAAAAGAUGAGUAUGCGUCCUAUUAGCUAGAUGGUAAGGUAACGGCUUACCAUGGCAACGAUAGGUAGGGGCCCUGAGAGGGGGAUCCCCCACACUGGUACUGAGACACGGACCAGACUCCUACGGGAGGCAGCAGUGAGGAAUAUUGGACAAUGGGCGAGAGCCUGAUCCAGCCAUGCCGCGUGCAGGAAGACUGCCCUAUGGGUUGUAAACUGCUUUUAUACAGGAAGAACCACCUCUACGUGUAGAGGCUUGACGGUACUGUAAGAAUAAGGAUCGGCUAACUCC